GUGAUCUUCCUCUUAUUUUUCUCUCAGCUGUCAGGAAAACAGCAUUUGUUUUAUUAUUAUUAUAAGACAACCUAUUGUCGCCCUUUAAAUCUGUGGUGAAUAACUAGGCCUCAGUCACAGAAUCCAAAAGCCAUGCUUCAUAGACUUGAGUAUAAUGGGUAAGGGGCUAGUCCUACUUUCUUGUUUCUUUUGAUUUUUCACCCUUAAUUUAAUGCUAGGCAGCUGGGUAAACAUUCAUCUAAAGUAUAAUGAGCCAAAGACUUUGUCAUCUGGUCAACUAGCACAGUAGAGCACAGAGUGCUCUAAAAGAUGCUGAACAUCUUCCUCAGGUUUGAUCCAAUUCAGCCAUUUGGUAUCUGACUUGAAAAAUCGCAAUAGUUACAUCUGGACAUGUGCUCUGUCAACACCUACACUGGGGUCCUGAGUCCCAGCUUGUGUUCCGGGCAUGCAAGACUGCACUAACAAAACCAGGGUGCUGUUGAUUUGCAAGACUCUGGUUUGUUCCGUUCAAGAGUGCGCACCUAGCAGCAGAUGCAGCAGAUGCAGCAGAUGGCCUGAAUCCCUGCGCCUUGCAGAGAACUAAACUGCUAGUGUGGAAACCAGCUGCCUUAGCAGGAUGAGAUAAAUAAAAUGAAAAGUCCCCUCCAAUCCA